GUCCUUGUCGAUUAGUGGUUAAAUCAUCGCAUUGUGGUACCAUCAUAACUGCGAAGCCGGAAGUUCGAAUCCUCCUUGGGACA